GACGGUCAUUUGUAAUCUGUGGACUUGCGGCAGAAGAGAGAACGCAAUAUCACGUGUAGCGCGAGAUUUGGAGAGAUGAGGAGGCACAUAGUCGAAGGUGGUUCUCUCGUCUUUUACCGUCACGGGGAGCGAAAGACCUGGGAGGCGACACACGGUUCGAUAUCUCUUAUUCUCCACUCUAAAAUCUACGGGUGAAAAGGGAAUGGGGUUCUCCCCUUUUGAGCGCCAGAUCUAGCGCUUUCAACAACCCCUCGGGGGUGUGCGGUCGCAAGUUAAAAUCAAAAAAAAAAAGAGGGGGCCCCGCACAAGCGGGGGAGCAUGUGGUAUAAUGGGAAGCACCGCGAAGAUCCUUCCCAGGUCUGGACAUCUUUUGACAACUCUAGAGAUAGAGCGUUCCCCUUCGGGGGACAGAGUGACAGGUGGAGCAUGGUUGUCUUCAGCUCGUGUCGUGAGAUGUUGGGUUAAGUCCCGCAACGAGCGCAACCCUUGAUCUUAGUUGCCAGCAUUUAGUUGGGCACUCUAAGGUGACUGCCGGUGACAAACCGGAGGAAGGUGGGGAUGACGUCAAAUCAUCAUGCCCCUUAUGACUUGGGUUUCACACGUGUUCCACUGGAUGGUACAAAGGGUUGCAAGUCCUUGUUUUCAAGCCAAUCC
rnacentral:rRNA from 2 species